rnacentral:rRNA from 1 species
GUAGGGAAUAUUGGGCAAUGGAGGCAACUCUGACCCAGCCAUGCCGCGUGCAGGAAGACGGUCCUCUGGAUUGUAAACUUCUUUUGUAUAGGAAUAAACCCUCGUUCGUGAACGAGGCUGAAGGUACUAUAAGAAUAAGCACCGGCUAACUCCGUGCCAGCAGCCGCGGUAAUACGGAGGGUGCAAGCGUUAUCCGGAUUUAUUGGGUUUAAAGGGUCCGUAGGCGGAUCGUUAAGUCAGUGGUGAAAUCCUACCGCUCAACGGUAGAACUGCCAUUGAUACUGGCGAUCUUGAGUAUGUAUGAAGUUGGCGGAAUGUGUGGUGUAGUGGUGAAAUGCUUAGAUAUCACACAGAACACCGAUUGCGAAGGCAGCUGACUAAUACACAACUGACGCUGAGGGACGAAAGUGUGGGGAUCAAACAGGAUUAGAAACCCCAGUAGUCC